AAAGUACUCCCUCCGUCCGAAAAAACUUGUCGAAGAAAUGCAUAAAAAUGGAUGUAUCUAGAACUAAAAUAUGUCUAUAUACAUCCAUUUCUCUGACAAGUAUUUCCGGACGGAGGGAGUAUGUU
rnacentral:pre_miRNA from 1 species